GAUCCUGGCUCAGGAUGAACGCUGGCGGCGUGCUUAACACAUGCAAGUCGAGCGAAGCACUUAAGUUUGAUUCUUCGGAUGAAGACUUUUGUGACUGAGCGGCGACGGGUGAAGGUAACGCGUGGGUAACCUGCCUCAUACAGGGGGAUAACAGUUAGAAAUGGCUGCUAAUACCGCAUAAGACCACAGUACUGCAUGGUACAGUGGUAAAAACUCCGGUGGUAUGAGAUGGACCCCGCGU
rnacentral:rRNA from 1 species